CUUUUUUUUUUUUUUUGGUUUUUUUUUUCCUUUUCUAGGGCUGCCCUCGCGGCAUAUGGGGAUUCCCAGGCUAGGGGUCUAAUCGGAGCCGUAGCCAUAGCCACCUGCCUACACCAGAGCCACAGCAAUGCGGGAUCCGACCACGUCUGAAGCCUACACCAUAGCUCAUGGCAACGCCGGAUCCUUAACCCACUAAGCGAGGCCAGGGAUCGAACCUGCAAUCUCAUGGUUCCUAGUCAGAUUAGUUAACCACUGUGCCAUGAUGGGAACUCCCCAAAACUUCCAAUUUUCUAAUAGAAAUCUCAAGUCAGGAAUGUUAAAUGAGACUUUCUGAUAUUUAAAAUAGCACGUGAGCUCAAGAGUUUACAACCCAUGGAAUAAAUGAUAAAUAGCCCGUGCUGCACCUGGGCCCCAGCACUGCUGGGCACAGUUACCACCUGCACAGAGAACACAAUGCCAGGAGCAGCACCACAGCCUAUGCGGUGGGGGAGGGCCAGGCAUUAGGCCAAAGGCAGAUGCAAACACUACUCCUCAAAGCCCAGCUCCUCUGGAGGCUGUGGCCUCCUGGGACACUUUCUGGAAGAGAUCUGAUUUUUUAGGAAGGAAACAAUCAGGAAGUAGGAUUCACUCUAAGGAGCUCCCUUGUGGUGCAGCAGGUUAAGGAUCCGGAGUUGUCACUGCAGUGGCUCAGGUCGCUUCUGUGAUGAGGGUUCGAUACUUGGGCUGGGAGCUUCCACAUGCUGUGGGCAUAGCCAAAAAAAUGAAUAAAUAAAUAAAAAUAAAAGGAUUCACUCUGGGGUAAUUCACUUUAUUCAAGUUCACUUUACAAAAAUUCACUUCACAGCGAGUUUUGCCAAAAUGGAUCUAUAAGAGAUAGGAUGGGCAACAGCCUUUUCCCAGUAAAAACAUACAAGAUAGACUGAGCAUAAAGCCCUUAACUAGCUCACAGGCCCCUGUGAUUGAACAGAAACCAGUACUUAAAUAAAUAAUCCUACAAAACAAAAGCCUAUACCUUCCCUCCCAAACUCAAAGCAGGGGAGUGGGAGGAAAAGGGAGCUUGAGAGUCAUAAUCCCUUGCUUGGUUUUAAACAACUGACACAGGAUGCUGGGAAGCUACUGAUCCUCUUUAAGCCUCAAUUUCCUCAUCUGUAAAAUGGAGAUAACAACUGCACUCUCCCAUCAGGGUCCCUGGAAGGGAUGAGAGACAAAGCACCGCAGGCUGGAGAACGGUGGCAGAGGGAGGACCACGUUUGUGUAACAGAAAGGGAAGCGGGAAAUAGAAAUACUAACGGGAGGGAACAGCCAGUGAGAAUGUAUUUAGUACUUAGUACAGGGCCCUUGCCCACUUUAAGUAACCAAGAAAAAGUUAGCUCUUUGAGGGUUUUUUUUGGGGGGGGGGGGCCUUUUGUCUUUUUAGGGCUGCACCUACGGCAUAUGGCGGUUCCCAAUCUAGGGGUCAAAUCGGAGCUGUAGUCGCUGGCCCACACCACAGCUCACAGCAACGCCAGGUCCUUAACCCACUGAGCAAGGCCAGGGAUCAAACCCGCAACCUCAUGGAUACUAGUUGGCUUCAUUCGAACUCCCAGGUUAGCUCUUAAUUAAGACAGCCCCCUCCCAUGGCUGAGGCUGGCAGUGACUUGCAGGUUCCAGAGGGUAGAAGCAGGGUCUCCCAGGGCAGGUUACAACAGGGCUGGACUCACUUCAUAUUGCCAAACUUCCAAUUUUCUGGAAACUUCCAAUUUCCUGCUCCCUCUGGGAACAGCCAGGCCCAGAGUCACUCUCUGGCCUCUGGCCAAGAUGUAAGGCAGCCCCACGCCAGUCCCAGGCUUCCUGAAUCUUCAGCCUGUAUGCCCUGGGCUCCACCUCAUCCUGUCCUGGUGGAGAGUGACUUUCAGCUUUCCUGGCAGGGCAGUGAGAGCUGAGGUUGCAGCUGAGCCUGAGGAAGAAGGAGGCCUUGGCUCCCAGGCUGGACUAUCUAGUCUAACUGUCCAGAGUCCCACUUUGGGCCCCCAAACCAGCUGAAACCAUCCAUCAGCCUUUAGCCAACAGCCUGCCUCUAGGGUGCUCCUGGAUUCAUAGUUUAUCCCAAAGGUAAGCACCUUCUGUAUACAGACACAGGACAAAGAGCAAUAAAAAGGCACAGGCCCUGGCCUCCCACAAUCCACUUUUAUUUCUAACAGUAAAUCCUAAAUAGAACACAUUUUCAGGAAAAGAAAAAAAAAAAAGCGUCAGAAAUUACUCAAGCAGAUGUCCUGCACCUUCAUAUUAAAACGAUUCAUGCUUUUGGUUAUUGAACCAAUUCACGAGUUUGGGGGAGUUUAAGCAGCCCAAGUGUGUCUUGUAAUGAGCCCUCAAUGAAAAAAAAAAUGUCACAUACUCCCACUCCACAGCAUCCGUAACAGGUCCAGCCAGCCCACAAACAGUAGUACACUAGGUUUUUUCCUUCACUGAGGAACGAAUUUAUAUAGACUUAAUGGUGUGAUUUUGUUUUUAAACCUUAGCCUUUUGCAUUAACAUUUUCCAAUUAUUUACAUGCUGGUGAAUCCCAGGAUAUGGUUUUCCAACGCUAAUAGACAAGUCAAGUUGCCAUUAUUCUCUGUCCCUAAUGCUCCUUGUCCUGAUUUGCUUAUUUAAUAUAAAUCUAUGGUGAAGAACAUCACAGUCAAUGAAAGCCUGAUUUAGAAAUUAGUUAUCACCCAUCCUGGGUUUCCAAGUUAAAUUUAAGGCACACUAGCAUUUCAAAUCUGUCUGGGGAAAAAAGAAAAAAAAGAAAAAAAAAAAACCUCAAAAUAUAUUUCUGCCUCUUAGGGACUGUGGAACUUGGGUAGAAUUCCUAAAUCCUCUGGGCCUCAGUUUCAUCAUUGAUUACAUGGGAAGGUCUGUACCUACUCCACAGGGUUGUAGUAGGGAAAUAAGACAUGCAAAGUAAGUAUUAGCUACUUUGAUUAAUAUUUUUUUCAAAACCAUUGUGAGAUAGUGGAACGUGGUGGUUAAAGAGGAACAGGGUCUGGGGGCCUGGGUUCAAGCCCCAACUUUUCCAUUCAUAACUGUGGCCUUGAGUAAGUUAAGGAAUCUCUCUGCGCCUUAGCUGUGGAAUUGGGAUAAAAACAGUAUCUACUUCAAAAGGCAGUUAUCAGGAGAGCUCUGGCAUGCAUAAGCACUGUACUAAGUUUAUAGCUAUUUUAAUGAUAAUAAAAACAAAGGCUUAUCAGAGGUGUUACCCUCUUAGUGGGGAACUGGCUACAUAAUGAGUUUAUGAACAUGUCCAGACUCCCACAAGGAAACGGAUUUGGGAUCAAAUCAAUGCCUGUGUAGACACAUCCACUUCCGGACUCACACACAGCUAUUGUUCCUAACACCUUGGGUUCACAUUUCCAUGGUGACCAGCAGGUUUGUUUACUGGUUUCCUGUUUUGUUUUUGUUUUUGUUUUUUGUUUUUGUUUUUGCUACAGCUGGAGUCCCACAAGGGCAGCCAAGUUGGAGACUGUAUUGUUUGCGGCAAACAUCAAAUACACCUGCCCGUAUGCUCAGGCAAAGCCUGGGACAAAUGUUCACCCAGCCUUCCUUAACUCAAGGCAUGCCUUCUAGGGCCAGGUAUCUCUUAAAGACAUGGCUUCUAACCUUGAGUGGGUCAACAGCUUUUGACUGUUAGUGUCAGGUCAUCAGGUCACCCAAACAGGAAGCCCAGGGUUAUGCAUACGACUCCCAGGAUGGCUGGAGACCCACAUCAAAUAAAAGUGUUGAAGAAUCUCUCUCUCUCACUCCCUUUCCCUUCCUCCCUCCCUCCCCCUCUCCCUCUCUCUGUCCCUCUCUCUCCUCCUCUUCCUCUCUCCCCCUCUCUCUCUCCUCCUCUCUCUCUCUCCCAUGUUAUUCUCAAGCAGGCUGUGGGAGGAUGAUGAAGAGCCACCAGCAGCUUCAGGCUUCCCUUCCGCCAACCCCCAGCAGUAGAAGAGCAGCCCUUCCUGGACCAUGAAUCACAUCCUCAACUCUGGUCUCUAAAGUCAAGAAGAGAAGUAGUGCUCUGAUUGGCCAGUGCUGGGUCACAUGCUCACCAACAGAGCC
rnacentral:lncRNA from 1 species